CAGUCGCCGCGGUAAUACGUAGGGUGCAAGCGUUAAUCGGAAUUACUGGGCGUAAAGCGUGCGCAGGCGGUUAUAUAAGACAGAUGUGAAAUCCCCGGGCUCAACCUGGGAACUGCAUUUGUGACUGUAUAGCUAGAGUACGGCAGAGGGGGAUGGAAUUCCGCGUGUAGCAGUGAAAUGCGUAGAUAUGCGGAGGAACACCGAUGGCGAAGGCAAUCCCCUGGGCCUGUACUGACGCUCAUGCACGAAAGCGUGGGGAGCAAACAGGAUUAGAUACCCCAGUAGUCCCUGUCUCUUAUAA
rnacentral:rRNA from 1 species